AUUGAACGCUGGCGGCAGGCUUAACACAUGCACGUCGAACGAGUGGCGGACGGGUGAGUAAUGUUUGGGAAUCUAGCUGAUGGAGGGGGAUAACUACGGGAAACGGUAGCUAAUACCGCGUACCAUAGGAUAAACCCAAGGGUGAUUAGGUAGUUGGUGAGGUAAAGGCUCACCAAGCCGACGAUCUCUAGCUGGUCUGGAAGGAUGACCAGCCACACUGGGAAUGAGACACGGCCCAGACUCCUACGGGAGGCAGCAGUGGGGAAUAUUGCGCAAUGGGGGCAACCUGACGCAGCCAUGCCGCGUGUAUGAAGAAGGCCUUCGGGUUGUAAAGUUCUUUCGGUAGCGAGGCGUUACCUACAGAAGAAGCACCGGCUAACUCCGUGCCAGCAGCCGCGGUAAUUC
rnacentral:rRNA from 1 species